rnacentral:rRNA from 1 species
AUGGAGGCGGAUGACUGGGAGGAGUUACAGUUGAAAGCAGCCGGGACUAUACGGCUGUGUCUGUCGGACCAGGUUAUUUAUCAUGUGAUGGAUGAGAAUUCACCGAAGAAGAUCUGGGAGAAGCUGGAAAGUCAGUUUAUGUCCAAGACUGCGACGACCAAGGUGUAUCUGAAGCAAAAGUUGUAUGGGAUGAGGAUGCAGGAGGGGUCAGAUCUUGUGGAGUAUAUGAACGCCUUUAAUCAAGUCGUGAUGGAUCUAGCACGCUUGGGUGCGACGGUUGACAACGAGGAUAGGGCAAUUCUGCUUCUUUGUUCGUUGCCAUCAUCCUAUGAUCAUUUGAUCACUACUUUGACGCACGGCAAGGAGACCGUCAAGAAUGAGGAUAUUACUGCGGCGUUGCUAUCUUAUGAUAUGACACUUCUAGGGAAAAGGCUAGCAGCAGCGUGGGUUUUAGACCUAUCAGUAGCGCGGGGUGGUGCGCUACUAAUAAGGCGCUACAGCUAA